rnacentral:tRNA from 1 species
UGCCCCAUGGCUGAGUUGGUUACAGCGUCCGACUGUUAGCAAUAUCAGCAUCGGAAGGUCGAGAGUUCGAGCCUCUCUGGGGCAG